rnacentral:sRNA from 1 species
UGUGAACUGGCGGAGCGUAGGAAGUCGCCUAAUGGAUAUUUCGCUUUGAGACGCGGCUGCGGAUGCGCUGUAAAAGUCGAUCAAAGCCCGAGCACUGUUUUCCUGGUUAUGGCAGCAGUACAUCGCGCUACGGCGUGGCAGAUAGCGACGCGCGCACUGGCACGCACGGGAGCUUGGCGAUGCAAAUCCAGGGCUUACCCAUGUCGGCGCGAAGAUCCCGGCCGAAGGUUAGUGCAGCGCAACCGCACCGCCGACCUUGCGCGCAUGCGCAACAGCCACUUUGCUUUUAAGGAACAGGCG